GGGGAUAUAGCUCAGUGGGAGAGCGUUCGGUUCGCAUCCGAAAGGCCGUGGGUUCAAAUCCCAUUAUCUCCA
rnacentral:tRNA from 2 species